CUGAUUUCACUUGGAGCAUUAGCUGUGAGGUACUGUAGAAAUGCAGGAGAGGAGGAAAGCAGCCACAUUUCACCUGCCUGGAGAAGCUGGCUGGGGCUGUUCAUCCCUCACAAGCAAAUCUUACUUUCCACCUUUAGAAUAUAUCUCUUAAUUCAGCAUUUACCUCUGUGGAAGACUGUAACAUGCCACUCCAAAAUACGAAAGAUUGUUGAGCUGAAGGCAAUUAAAAAGAAUUAGAUGCUGAGAAGCUCUCUGUUCUCCUCUAUUUGCCUAAAAGCAGGACACAGAUUUAUAAAGAUCAAAGAUAGCCUACCUUCUCUUCCACCAAGGGGAAUAAAGGUUAACCACUAAGAUCAACUUUAAACCCUUCUCUGCCUUGACACGGUACCAGAGGAAUCUACAUGAACAAGCAGGGUACUUGAAAAGACCUGGCACGCAGUGCAUAUGAGAAGUACGAGGAGUGAAAAGAAGGGAGGACUAAGAAUCCGAGACCGGCAUGUGACCUGCUGGUGGAAUCUGACCUGAUGCCCUCUCCCAGAACCCAUGAUGAAGAUUCUCCUCUAUCACCACAUUCAGGGAGGUGGCUCUGUGGCAAAGAGGGGCAGCCUCAGAAGAUGUGUCUUAGGAGUGCGUACGGGAUUAGCUAUUGUCCUCUGUGGCUGCCUUACAUCAGCUUACAAGGAAUAUUGCACCUGGAAAAGAAGGUGAAUGGAAAUCCACUGACACAUUUUGAGAAGGGGAAGACCAG
rnacentral:lncRNA from 10 species